rnacentral:lncRNA from 1 species
AUGGCAUUUGAGUACCCCAUAAGGGGUCCCAGCUCAGUUGUUGGCAGAUUUUUUGACGUGUUGAAAUUUAUCGUCAAAGAGGUGCCCUAAUCGACCUCUCAGGAAAACCAUGGAGCCCUGUAUGACAUAGCUUGGACCAAUCCCGUCGUUGAUCAAGACGCUAGAUUCCGGUGAUUUGGAUUCUCAAUUCGCCGGACUCUACUCGCUUCUUAAUAUUGGAAUCGGCAACGACUGCGUAAUCGAUAC